rnacentral:rRNA from 1 species
CCUACGGGUGGCAGCAGUGGGGAAUAUUCCACAAUGGGCGAAAGCUUGAUGCAGCAACGCCGCGUGCAGGAAGAAGGCCUUCGGGUCGUAAACUUCUGUCCUUGGGGAAGAAGAACUGAAGGUACCCAAGGAGGAAGACCCGGCUAACUACGUGCCAGCAGCCGCGGUAAUAAGUAGGGGGCAAGCGUUAUCCGGAAUUAUUGGGCGUAAAGCGUACGUAGGUGGCCAGCUAAGUGUAGGGUUUAAGGCAAUGGCUCAACCAUUGUUCGCCCUGCGAACUAGGAUGCUUGAGUGCAGUAGAGGAAAGCGGAAUUCCUAGUGUAGCGGUGAAAUGCGUAGAUAUUAGGAGGAACACCAGAGGCGAAGGCGGCUUUCUGGACUUUAACUGACACUGAGGUACGAAAGCGUGGGGAGCAAACAGGAUUAGAUACCCUGGUAGUC